AAGAUAUGGACUUCUUGUCAUGUGGAAGGCCUCGAGGUUGGCUGUAAAAGGAAUACAAAUCAACAUUAUUCCUAGCAAAACAUGGUUGAACAGAUCUAAACUCUACAAACAAAGGAAUAGAUAGAAAAACACACUAAAGUUCUAACCAUUAACAUACAUGUGGGUUUUCUAUCAAACUUAGAAUACCUAGUGCUUAGGCUAACGAUGUAAGCCGCGUGCACAACAUCCCAAGCUUCUGCAUGAAUCGUGAAACAAAGCAAAAAUGUAACUUCAAUAUCUAAAGUGCAAAAAUAUAUAUUAUUUGGAGGUACCUAGAUGUUAGCUACUAAUCCCUCCCAAUCUGCGGAGAUUCUUUCCAUACAAGAAAUUAUUCUGUCGAUUUAUAUAAGAAUGUAUUUGAUAGAUAGGUGGCAUAUUCUGUUUAAGCUUCAAAUUCGGGAGUGAUUAAGAUAAAGGUGAAAGUAUUAAGCUAAAGUUUGUAUAGUAGAUGAACAACCGGCCAAAUCGAACAUCCAUAACAUCCGCUGCCCAAAUAGAAUGUUCCAACCAAUCGAUGCAAAAUUAUUCCCACAAAUAGCAUGAUGAACAGUUAAACACAUUAGUUGGCAAAAAAAAGAUAACCAUAUGCCAACUGUAUUUGAGCGACUUAUGAUAUGAUUCAGGUUAACUGCUAGCUACUCUUUUGAUAAAAACAGAGUACAUCUGAGAAAUCAACUCCACAUGUUCCUUGUCAGCACUCUUAUGUGAUAUCAACGUCACCUUUGAAAGGAAAUUGACAUGUUCCUUGUCAUCCAUCAAACACUGGA
rnacentral:lncRNA from 1 species